rnacentral:rRNA from 1 species
AGAUGGCGACCGGCGCACGGGUGAGUAACACGUAUCCAACCUGCCGAUAACUCGGGGAUAGCCUUUCGAAAGAAAGAUUAAUACCCGAUGGUAUAAUCAGACCGCAUGGUUUGAUUAUUAAAGAAUUUCGGUUAUCGAUGGGGAUGCGUUCCAUUAGACAGUUGGUGAGGUAACGGCUCACCAAACCUUCGAUGGAUAGGGGUUCUGAGAGGAAGGUCCCCCACAUUGGAACUGAGACACGGUCCAA